GUGGGGAAUAUUGGACAAUGGGCGAAAGCCUGAUCCAGCCAUGCCGCGUGUGUGAAGAAGGUCUUCGGAUUGUAAAGCACUUUAAGUUGGGAGGAAGGGCAGUAAGUUAAUACCUUGCUGUUUUGACGUUACCGACAGAAUAAGCACCGGCUAACUUCGUGCCAGCAGCCGCGGUAAUACGAAGGGUGCAAGUGUUAAUCGGAAUUACUGGGCGUAAAGCGCGCGUAGGUGGUUUUGUAAGUUGGAGGUGAAAUAACCGGGCUCAACCUGGGAACUGCCUCCAAAACUGCAUGACUAGAGUACGGUAGAGGGUAGUGGAAUUUCCUGUGUAGCGGUGAAAUGCGUAGAUAUAGGAAGGAACACCAGUGGCGAAGGCGACUACCUGGACUGAUACUGACACUGAGGUGCGAAAGCGUGGGGAGCAAACAGGAUUAGAUACCCGGGUAGUCC
rnacentral:rRNA from 1 species